rnacentral:rRNA from 1 species
UACAGAGGGUGCGAGCGUUACUCGGAAUUACUGGGCGUAAAGCGUGCGUAGACGGCUAUCUAAGUCUGUCGUGAAAUCCCCGGGCUUAACCUGGGAAUGGCGAUGGAGACUGCGAGGCUAGAGUUUGGCAGAGGGGGGUAGAAUUCCACGUGUAGCAGUGAAAUGCGUAGAGAUGUGGAGGAACACCGAUGGCGAAGGCAGCCCCCUGGGUCAAAACUGACGCUCAUGCACGAAAGCGUGGGGAGCAAACAGG